GAACUUAGCAGAGAUGCUUUGGUGCCUUCGGGAACUCUGAGACAGGUGCUGCAUGGCUGUCGUCAGCUCGUGUUGUGAAAUGUUGGGUUAAGUCCCGNAACGAGCGCAACCCUUUAUCCUUUGUUGCCAGCGGUUCGGCCGGGAACUCAAAGGAGACUGCCGGUGAUAAACCGAAGGAAGGUGGGGAUGACGUCAAGUCAUCAUGGCCCUUACGGCCAGGGCUACACACGUGCUACAAUGGCGCAUACAAAGAGAAGCGACCUCGCGAGAGCAAGCGGACCUCAUAAAGUGCGUCGUAGUCCGGAUUGGAGUCUGCAACUCGACUCCAUGAAGUCGGAAUCGCUAGUAAUCGUAGAUCAGAAUGCUACGGUGAAUACGUUCCCGGGCCUUGUACACACCGCCCGUCACACCAUGGGAGUGGGUUGCAAAAGAAGUAGGUAGCUUAACCUUCGGGAGGGCGCUUACCACUUUGUGAUUCAUGACUGGGGUGAAGUCGUAACAAGGUAAGCGUAGCGAG
rnacentral:rRNA from 1 species